UAAAUAGGAACUUCGCCUAAAGGCGCGACAUCGUGUCGCAACGGCGAAGCCAGCACAUCCAUGUGCA
rfam:Lysinibacillus massiliensis 4400831 = CIP 108448 = CCTG 49529 contig43, whole genome shotgun sequence.